rnacentral:rRNA from 1 species
UGGGGAAUUUUGGACAAUGGGCGAAAGCCUGAUCCAGCAAUGCCGCGUGUGUGAAGAAGGCCUUCGGGUUGUAAAGCACUUUUGUCCGGAAAGAAAUCCUUGGCUCUAAUACAGUCGGGGGAUGACGGUACCGGAAGAAUAAGCACCGGCUAACUACGUGCCAGCAGCCGCGGUAAUACGUAGGGUGCAAGCGUUAAUCGGAAUUACUGGGCGUAAAGCGUGCGCAGGCGGUUUGCCAAGACCGAUGUGAAAUCCCCGGGCUCAACCUGGGAACUGCAUUGGUGACUGGCAGGCUAGAGUAUGGCAGAGGGGGGUAGAAUUCCACGUGUAGCAGUGAAAUGCGUAGAGAUGUGGAGGAAUACCGAUGGCGAAGGCAGCCCCCUGGGCCAAUACUGACGCUCAUGCACGAAAGCGUGGGGAGCAAAACAGGAUUAGAUACCCUGGUAGUCCACGCCCUAAAACGAUGUCAACUAGUUGUUGGGGAUUCAUUUCCUUAGUAACGUAGCUAACGCGUGAAGUUGACCGCCUGGGGAGUACGGUCGCAAGAUUAAAACUCAAAUGAAUUGACGGGGUCAUAGCUGUUUCCU